rnacentral:lncRNA from 1 species
AUCUUGAACCCAGCCACAUCCUCAGGAGACCAACCUCUUCCAUGACCCAAAAAAGCCUAUUGAGGUUUGGUCCCCAGAAGGACACUUACUGGGAGGUGGUAGAGACCUCAAUUCUGUGAGUGGUGGUGCAAGGAGGGGGACAGUUAGGUAGUUUCCAAGUGUGCCCUUAAGAGGAUUUGGCCACCUCCCCUUCCUCUGUUUUCUGGUUACAAAGUAAGUAGUUCAUUCCUUUGGCCUCAGGGCAGCUAGAAAGGCGACUGACAAGUAGACUGGGAGGGAGGCCAGGUCUAUGCCUCAGAACUCUACGAUAUCCUUACAGUCAGUCACCCAGCCCCUACUUCCAGGAACUGCCAUCCUGAUCUCCACCGAGUUCCAGAGUAACAGGCGUGAGUAGUCUGGGAGGAGCAAAGGAGUCUGGGAAAGCCAGGAUCCAGUACUGUCUCUCCCUCCACAGUGAGAGAUCACAGUCCCUGUAAACGACCAAGGAGGUCAAAAGGGUUGCUGCCAGGCCCCACCACAAAGGAUGACUCUAUUUGCAGCUGCUCACUGGCUUAAAAAAAGAACAACCCCAGGCUGGAGAGAUGGCUCAUCGGUUAAGAGCACUGCCUGCUCUCCCAGAGGUCCUGAGUUCAAGUCCUAGCACCCACGUGAUGGCUCACACCCAUCUGUAAUAGGAUCCAGUGCCCUCUUCUGGUGUGUCUAAAGACAGCGAUGACAGUGUACUCAUGUAUACAAGAUAAAUAAAAAGAAAAGAUUCAGUUAAUAAUUAAAAAAAAAAAGCAAACAAGCUGUGUAAACCCUGUGCUUGUUGGAUUUUCCCCUUGCCAAACAUGCAGUCUUGGGCUCUUCCAAAGGAAAGAGUGUAUCCUCCCUCCUAGUCUCCAGUUGAGCUCACUGGUUUUAUUUAGCCGUGAAAUAGAAAAGGGGCUGGGCGUGGUCAUACUUGCCUUUAAUCGCAGCACUCCAGAGGCAGGCAGAUCUCUGUGAGUUUAAAGGUCAGCCUGAUCUACAUAGCCAGUUCCAGGUCAGCCAGGGCUGUGUAGUAAGAUCUUGUCUGGGGGGGGGGGGAGAAAAAAGGGGGUGGGGUGGGGGAGGCUGAGGCAAGAGGAUUGCCAGGAGGAGUUCAAGUCCAGCCUGGUCCUCAUAGGCACCUCCUGCAUGUCUGCAUGUCCUCUUCUCAGCUUUUCAGUUCCUGGAUGUUUAUGGAUGUGUUCUUUUACGUCUAUAUUAUUCUCCUUAAAAACAGUCCCUCGGGGGCCUAGAGAGAGAGCAUACUGGUUUCCAGAGGAACCCAAUUCAGUUCCCAGCACCCACAUGGCAUAUUCCACAGUCACUCGUAACUCCAGUUCCAGGGGGACCCAAUACCUUCUUCUGGCUUCUGUGAGCACCUGGACUCAUGUAUACAUACCCUUAUGCAGACAAAACACAUAGACAAAUAAAUAAAACUAAGAUUACCAAACUGCCUGGUGACUCACACCCUUCGGAGGCUUGAGGCAGGAUUGCCAUGAGGUCUAAACUUACCUAGGCUAUCCAGUGAAUUUCAGGCCAGCCUGGACUACAGGGUGAAAUCCUUUCUCAAAACACAGUUUCUCAGGGACUCGUCUGCAUCCCAAUCCACUUUUGAACACAAAGGAACGUUGGGGCAGCCACCCAGCCCAGAGAUGUAAUUCUCAUGCCUUUUAGAGAAGGUGGUGGCAGGAUGCUUACUUUCUCCACCACUAGAUGGCACUCAUGUGCUGUCCAUCCCCAGAUCUCCUGCAGUGGCUUGUUCUUAGUGUGGCCACUCGCAUGACCAGCCUGAAUGCUGAUCUGACUCCUCACCCUGCAGUGGGAUUCCCCUGAAAUGAGGCUGGGGUCCAGACCAAGGGAGACAAAGAGACCUAGCUUUCCUUUUUCUUUUCAAACGGUUUUUAUUUAGUUUGUUUUUAUGUAUGUGGGUGUUUUGUCUGUAUACCACAUAUAUGAAAUAACCACAGAGGUCAGAAGAGGGUGUCAGAUCCCAAUGGGACUAGUGUUACAGUUGUGAUCCAGUGAGUGCUCUUAACCACUGAACCAUCUUUCCCCCCAGGGACCCAGCUUUCUAAACCCAACUCCUUCGUCGGCUGAUAGGUUUUUUAAUAACCCCAUAGCCACAAGCUUUCCCAUUACAAGUUAACAUUGGCCAGAAUAUAUGCCACCCCUGUCCCUUGAAGAGUGAAGGUGAUCCUGGAACUGGGCAUUCCAAGAACCCCUGCAACAGUACAGGUGCCACUGUGUCCUUGAACAGAGGCUACGAGGACACAGAUACCAACUGGAGCUACCAAUCUCCGUUGUGUGCCUCUAUUUACAAACUCUUGUUCGAUGGUUUUACAAAUUAUCUGUGUAACCCAGGAUUCCAGACUGACCCACAGCCUCUUAUUUGGGCUCUCGGCCAAUGAGUUUCCAGUUUACUGUGAAACUCUAGCCUUCUCCGUCCUGAUCAACACCUUACUCUGCUUUCUGCAUGUGGUUCGUUGGAUAUUAUUUACUUAGCUCUUCUUCACUCUGCUAAAACAACGUAUACACCUGUCACCUCUUACACCGGCUGGUUUUGUGUGUCAACUUGACACAAGUUAGAGUCAUCAGAGAGAAGGAGCCUCAGUUGAGAAAAUGCCUCCGUGAGAUCCAGCUGUAAGGCAUUUUCUUUAUUACUGAUCAGUGGGGGAGGGCCCAGCCCAUGGUGGGUGGUGUCAUCCCUGGACUAGUGGUCCUGGGUUCUAUAAGAACACAGGCUGAGCAAGCCAGGAGAAGCAAGCCAGGAAGCCACACCCUCCAUGGCCUGUGCAUCAGCUCCUGCUUCCAGGUUCCAGCCCUGCUUGAGUUCCUGUCCUGACUUCCUCCAAUGAUGGAUUAUGAUCUGGAAGUGUUAACGCUGAAUAAACCCUUUCCUCCCC